rnacentral:miRNA from 1 species
CAGUUUCGUACCACGUAAAUAACGUGGCACUCUUCAGAUAAAAUAGCCUAUUACGCUAUUUUAUCUGAAGAGUGCCACGUUAUUUACGUGGUACGAAACUG